rnacentral:misc_RNA from 1 species
UCGCGAAUACUGCUAGUGGAUCGAUAGCUUGUGUUGCCGUUACUCGCAGAUGAAUCAGCUCGUUGGAUUUGAUCUUGGAUAUCCUCAUCACCCACAUGAUCGUCUUCUUCAUACUCAUCUGCGGCGGAGGAGUGGACUGAAGAGCUGGGAUCAGCGGCGGCGAGGGAGUUCAACUCGACGGGAGUGGUGUGGUUGAGAAGUAUGUUGCGGAACUCGUCUUCAAGCCUGGCCAUAGCGAUCUGGAUGGUGGCGCUAUUGACCUUGUCUUGAUCAUCGGAGAUGGAGGUGGACGACAUGGAUUUUUGAAUAUCGUCGACAGCCUUUAAAUAAAGAUCCACCUCCUCACGGUCACCUUCGAAGAUCAUCCUCUCCCUGGCUUCCUCUGAGGCCGUGGAGUCCCACCGGAGAAUUAUCUUCUGCGCAUCUUCAAACGCCACCGCACCACCACUAGCGUCACUAUUCUCUGGUGGUUCCAUAUGAUUGGACACAACUGGCUCUUAGAAGCUAAAAGAUUGAAACUUUUUGUGGAAUCUUUCAAGAAAAAUGAAGACUUUCUAUUUUCCAAAUCUCGAAAAUAUUAACAGCAGAUUCGUUUGAGUGUUGGCGAUGAAUUUUGUAAUGGAAAAGUAAAGUUUUUUUUUUUCUUUAAUAUAGGAAAAGUUAAAAUGUUAACAAAAAAAGGGUUGAUUGUACGGGUGGUGGUGGUGGUGGUGGUGGUGGCGGUUUUUUAUGGCGGUGGUGGUGGCUGUGGAGAAGAGAUAGUAGAAGGUAUUAAGACACAGUAGAAGUUUGAUUGGGGAUGAGAGGGUGAGGUUGUGCGCAGCCUUGGAGCACUAGUAUUUAAUUUUCACAGUAAGCAUGGUGGUGUCUUGGAAUUCAG